GAAGCUCCCAGAGUCUCACCUGGCAGGCCCAGGACAAAGGUCUCCUAUUGGACCGAGGAAAAACAACAGAGUGAAGGUCAUGACGCCUUUGGAAUACCUGCUGGUGUGCAAGUCAGCAAACACCAUGAUCACAUGUGCAAAGAGCUAAAACGCCACGGUCGUGCCAUCCGGCGUCAUGUUCUAUCUCUAGGACCUAUGAUGCUCCCCCUACUUAUAGAAAGGCAUCCUUUCACUUUCUGACGGCUAAUGUCAAAUACCAUUUCCAGAUCUUCCUUGUAGAAAUCAAUACCUUUGGCUCCACCCACCCAUCAACUUCGCAUUCUGAGAACAAAGCGGUUUCAUGAUGCCUCCGACUUUAGUGCUCAGCCACUAACCAACCAAGCAAAUGAUCUCCCUAAGACUGGAAUGAGGAAAAUAACCAACUCAAAGAAUGUGAACCAGAAGCUGUGACCUAUGAAUAUCACAGAGGCUAAGUAAAAAACGGCAUGACCUAGGAAUACCACACAGAGGAGCACAAAAUUCUGUGAUCUGCGAAAGCCCCAGCUGAGAGUGGCAUCAAUGCCUUCAUAUUUGAUCACAACUUUCAGUUAAACUAAGAGCCUGAUUAAAGGGGGGAAUUGUUAAGAGAAAACCAUAGGCUCAAAAUAGGAUCACUUAAACCAAGUUCCCAAAUCUGGGCUUUCCACACAUUCUAACUGCAGUUUCAACCUCCUCCAGAAAUGCAGGCUUAACUGGUCAGUGAGGAAAAAUUUUCUGUCAGCACCAAUGAGCCUGUCACCUGGAUCCUCUCCAUCCCCCAAAGAAAGAUGAGGGAGACAGAACAUGAAGACUCCUAACUCUGGGAAACAAACUAGAGGUGGUGGAAGGGGAGGAGGGCGGGGGGUGGGGGUGACUGGGUGGCGGGCACUGAGGGGGGCACUUGACGGGAUGAGCACUGGUGUUAUUCUGUAUGUUGGCAAAUUGAACACCAAUAAAAAAUAAAUUUAUUAUUAAAAAAAAAGAAAGAUGAGGUUGUUCCCCACCCCAACCCCACAAACAGCCUAAUCUGGAACAAUCCUUUUCUUUUGCUAAUAAUCUUCUGGCCCCCACCUUCCAUCUAUAAAAACCUUCCAUUCCAGACAAGUUAGUGCCUGUCUAACUUGCUAGAUGGGAUGCUGCCUAAUUCAUGAGUUGUUUAAUAAAACCAAUUAAUUUUCACAUUUA